GGCCUCGUGGCGGAGUGGUGACGCAGCGGAUUGCAAAUCCGCGUACUCCGGUUCAAUUCCGGACGAGGCCUCCA
rnacentral:tRNA from 2 species